UACGUAGGGGGGCUAGCGUUGUCCGGAAUCAUUGGGCGUAAAGAGCGUGUAGGCGGCCCGGUAAGUCCGCUGUAAAAAGUCAAAGGCUCAACCUUUGAAUGUCAGUGGAUACUGCCGGGCUAGAGUCCGGAAGAGGCGAGUGGAACUCCUGGUGUAGCGGUGGAAUGCGCAGAUAUCAGGAAGAACACCAACGGCGAAGGCAGCUCGCUAGGACGGUACUGACGCUGAGACGCGAAAGCGUGGGGAGCAAACAGG
rnacentral:rRNA from 1 species